rnacentral:rRNA from 1 species
CCUACGGGUGGCAGCAGUGGGGAAUAUUGCGCAAUGGGCGAAAGCCUGACGCAGCGACGCCGCGUGAGGGAUGAAGGUCUUCGGAUCGUAAACCUCUGUCAGCAGGGAAGAACGGUCACUGUGCUAAUCAGCAGUGAAUUGACGGUACCUGCAAAGGAAGCACCGGCUAACUCCGUGCCAGCAGCCGCGGUAAUACGGAGGGUGCGAGCGUUAAUCGGAAUUACUGGGCGUAAAGCGCUCGUAGGCGGUAUGUCAAGUCAGUGGUGAAAGCCCCGCGCUCAACGGGGGAACUGCCUUUGAAACUGGCAAACUGGAGUGUGUGAGAGGAUAGUGGAAUUCCAGGUGUAGGAGUGAAAUCCGUAGAUAUCUGGAGGAACAUCAGUGGCGAAGGCGACUAUCUGGCACAUAACUGACGCUGAGGAGCGAAAGCGUGGGUAGCAAACAGGAUUAGAUACCCCAGUAGUC